rnacentral:rRNA from 1 species
CCCUUAGAUGUUCUGGGCCGCACGCGUGCUACACUGAGUGGAUCAGCGGGUCAGGUUGCGCGAAAGCGUUUCCUAAUCUUUAAAUCCGCUCGUGAUGGGGAUUGACGGUUGCAAUUUUCUGUCAUGAACGAGGAAUACCUUGUAAGCGCGGGUCAUCAUCCCGCGCUGAAUACGUCCCUGCCCUUUGUACACACCGCCCGUCGCUCCUACCGAUUGAGUGGUCCGGUGAGGCUUUGGGAUCUGAGCGGAAAGAGCGUUUCGCUGUUUCUGCUUGGAAAACUCAGUCGAACCUCAUCAUUUAGAGGAAGGAGAAGUCGUAACA